UGUUUUUUGUUUUUGGUUCUGUUUAGGAAUAAAUAAUCCAUCUAUAUUAUGUUUAGAUGUGGUUUUAUCUUUUAAUUAGUGUUUGUGCCAAGUUAAACCUAUUAGAUCUUCUUGGAAGAUAGUUAUUUGAUCUUGCUGUAAUUUCCAGAAUCUUUGCGCUCAGUGCCCGAAUUGUCAAAAAUCACCGGAACGUGAUAAAAUAGUGAUUCCAAUUUCUGAUGAUCAAUAAACAAAUUUCCCAGGUCUUCUAAUUUUGGUAGAAUGUUUUGGGUUCCAGAAGUUUGCGUUAGUAACAGAUUACUACAGACUGUUCUGUUUUUGACAGAUUCUGUUUUGCGUGUGUUGUUUGCUUAUUUUGAUGAAUCUAUGGCUAGUAAAAUAGUUUAUAAACCAUAGAGAAGUUGGAACACAGUAGGUUUAACACCAAUACAAAUAAAGAACAAGUUCACUACAGUACCUUAAAGUAGUCUUUUGUUUUCUUUCUCUAACGGAGCUCACGAGAUCUCUAUUAAGUUUUGUGUUGUGAAGUUUUCAAUUUUUGGGUGAAUUCUUUUGAUGGAUUAUGGAACAAGGAGUGGCAAGAGCCUAAGCUUGGGGAUGCCCAUGGCACCCCAAAGAUAAUCCAAGGACACCAAAAAGUCAAAGCUUGGGGAUACCCCAGAAGGCAUCCCCUCUUUCGUCCACUUCCGUCGGUAAUUUACUUGGAGCUAUAUUUUUAUUCACCACAUGAUAUGUGUUUUGCUUGGAGCGUCUUGUAUUAUUUGUGUCUUUGCUUGUUAGUCUACCACAAUCAUCCUUGCUGUACACACCUUUUUAGAGAGCCAUGUAUGAAUUGAAAUUUGUUAGAAUACUCUAUGUGCUUCACUUAUAUCUUUUGAGCUUGAUAGUUUACUCUAUGUGCUUCACUUAUAUCUUUUUGAGCGUGAUAAUUUUUGCUCUAGUGCUUCACUUAGAUCUUUUAGAGCACGGUGGUGGUUUGUUUUAAAGAAACUUGAUCGCUCAUGCUUCACUUAGAUUAUUUUGAGAGUCGUUAAUAGCAUGGUAAUUUGCUUAAUGUUAAUAUACUUGGUAUUCAAGAUAUGUGAAACUUUCUUUUUAGUGGGUUGAAUACAAAGAUAAGUUUGAUGCUUGAUAAUUGUUUUGAGAUAUGGAGGUGAUAAUAUCAUAGUCGUGCUAGUUGAGUAGUUGUGAAUUUGAGAAAUACUUGUGUUGAAGUUAGCAAGUCCCGUAGCAUGCACGUAUGGUUAAAGUUGUGUAACAAAUUUGAAGCAUGAAGUGUACCUGGCUUGUGCAUCCUUAUGAGUGGCGGUCGGGGACGAGCGAUGGUCUUUUCCUACCAAUCUAUCACCCUAGGAGCAUGCGCGUAGUACUUGAUUUUUGAUGACUUCUAAAUUUUUGCAAUAAGUAUAUGAGUUCUUUUGACUAAUGUUGAGUCCAUGGAUUAUACGCACUUUUACCUUUCCGCCAUUUGCUAGCCUCUUCGGUACCGUGCAUUGCCCUUUCUCACAUUGAGAGUUGGUGCAAAUUUCGCCGGUGCAUCCAAACCCCGUGAUAUGAUACGCUCUUUCACACAUAAACCUCUCUAUAUCUUCCUCAGAACAGCCACCAUACCUACCUAUCAUGGCAUUUCCAUAGCCAUUCCGAGAUAUAUUGCCAUGCAACUUCCAUCAUCAUCAUCAUCAUCAUCAUGACAUGCUUUACUUUUGUCAUAUUGCCAUUGCAUGAUCUUGUAGUUGACAUCGUAUUUGUGGCAAAGCCACCAUGCAUUAUUUUUCAUACAUGUCACUCUUGAUUCAUUGCACCAUCCCGGUACACCGCCGGAGGCAUUCAUAUAGAGUCAUAUCUUGUUCUAGUAUCGAGUUGUAAUCAUUAUGUUGUAAUCAAUAGAAGUGUGAUGAUCAUCAUUAUUAGAGCAUUGCCCAAUCAAAAAAGAGAGAAAGGCCAAAAAGAAAAAAAAGGCCCAAAAAAAGGAGAAAAUAAAAAGGGCAAUGCUACUAUCUCUUUUUCCACACUUGUGCUUCAAAGUAGCACCUUGUUCUUCAUGUAGUGAGUCUCAUAUAUUGUGCUUCAAAGUAGCACCAUGAUUUUCAUAUAGUGAAUCUCAUAAUUUGUCUUGUUCAUACUAGUGGGAAUUUUUCAUUAUAGAACUUGGCUUGUAUAUUCCAACGAUGGGCUUCCUCAAAAUGCCCUAGGUCUUCAUGAGCAAGCAAGUUGGAUGCACACCCACUAGUUUUCUUUUGUUGAGAAUUCUUAGCUCUAGUGCAUCCAUUGCAUGGCAAUCCCUACUCCUUGCAUUAACAUCAAUUGAUGGGCAUCUCCAUAGCUCAUUGAUUAGCCUCGCUGAUGUGAGACUUUCUCCUUUUUUGUCUUCUCCACACAAUACCCAUCAUCAUAUUGUAUACCACCCAUAGUGCUAUGUCCAUGGCUCGUGCUCAUGUAUUGCGUGAAGGUUGAAAAAGUUUGAGAUUAUUUGAGUAUGAAACAAUUUCUUGGCUUGUCAUCGGGGCUAUAGAAGUUGGGAACAUCUUUGCGUGACGAAAAUGAAGCAUAGCCUAACUAUAUGAUUUUGUAGGGAUGAACUUCCUUUGGCCAUGUUAUUUUGAGGUGACAUAAUUGUUUGAUUAGUAUGUUUGAAGUAUUAUCAUUUUUUAUGUCAAUAUGAACUUUUGUCUUGAACCUUUCGGAUCUGAAUAUUCAUACCAUGAUUAAGAAGAUUUACAUUGAAUUAUGCCAAAGUAUCACUCCGCAUCAAAAAAUCUCUUUUUAUCAUUUACCUACUCGAGGACGAGUAGGAAUUAAGCUUGGGGAUGCCUGAUACGUCUCCAACGUAUCUAUAAUUUUUGAUUGCUCCAUGCUACUUUAUCUACUGUUUUGGACUAUAUUGGGCUUUAUUUUCCACUUUUAUAUUAUUUUUGGGACUAGCCUAUUAACCGGAGGCCCAGCCCAGAAUUGCUGUUUUUUGCCUAUUUCAGUAUUUCGAGGAAACAGAAUAUCAAACGGAGUCCAAACGGAAUGAAACCUUCGGGAACGUGAUCUUCUCACCGAACGUGAUCCAGGAAACUUGGACCCUACUCCAAGAAGUUUCCGGGGAGGUCACGAGGGUGGAGGGUGCCCCCCCUGGGCAUGCCCCCUGCCUCGUGGGCCCCUCGGAGCUCCACCGACGUGCUCCUUCCUCCUAUAUAUACCUACGUACCCCCAUUAGACCAGAGACGGAGCCAAAAACCUAAUUCCACCGUCGCAACUUUCUGUAUCCACGAGAUCCCAUCUUGGGGCCUGUUCCGGAGCUCCACCGGAGAGGGCAUCCAUCACGGAGGGCUUCUACAUCAACACCAUAGCCCUUCCGAUGAAGUGUGAGUAGUUUACUUCAGACCUUCGGGUCCAUAGCUAGUAGCUAGAUGGCUUCUUCUCUCUUUUUGGAUCUCAAUACAAUGUUCUCCCCCUCUCUUGUGGAGAUCUAUUCGAUGUAAUCUUCUUUUUGCGGUGUGUUUGUUGAGAUCGAUGAAUUGUGGGUUUAUGAUCCAACUUAUCUAUGAAUAAUAUUUGAAUCUUCUCUGAAUUUUUUUAUGUAUGAUUGAGUUAUCUUUGCAAGUCUCUUCGAAUUAUCCGUUUGGUUUGGCCAACUAGAUUGGUAGUUCUUGCAAUGGGAGAAGUGCUUAGCUUUGGGUUCAAUCUUGCGGUGUCCUUACUCAGUGACAGAAAGAGUUGCAAGGCACGUAUUGUAUUGUUGCCAUCGAGGAUAACAAGAUGGGGUAUUUAUCAUAUUGCAUGAAUUUAUUCCUCUACAUCAUGUCAUCUUGCUUAAGGCGUUACUCUGUUUUUAACUUAAUACUCUAGAUGCAUGCUGGAUAGCGGUCGAUGAGUGGAGUAAUAGUAGUAGAUGCAGGCAGGAGUCGGUCUACUUGUCACGGACGUGAUUCCUAUAUACAUGAUCAUACCUAGAUAACCUCAUAACUAUGCUAAAUUCUAUCAAUUGCUCAACAGUAAUUUGUUCACCCACCGUAGAAUAUCUAUGCUCUUGAGAGAAGCCACUAGUGAAACCUAUGUCCCCCGGGUGUAUUCUCAUCAUAUCAAUCUCCAUUACUUGUUUUGCUUUUACUUUUCACUUUGCAUCUUUAUACCAAAAAUACCAAAAAUAUUAUCUCUAUCAGAUCUCACUCUCGUAAGUAACCAUGAAGGGAUUGACAACCCCUAAGCGUUGGUUGCGAGUUGCUACCGUUUUGUGCAGGUACGAGGGACUUGCACGUGACCUCCUUCUGGAUUGAUACCUUGGUUCUCAAAAACUAAGGGAAAUACUUAUGAUACUGUGCUGCAUCACCCCCUCCUCGGGGAAAACCAACGCUAGCUCGAGACGUAGUAGCUUGCACCCGUUGUAGAUGGACGUAGAGCUUAUCACACCCGAUCAUCACGUGGUGUAUGGGCACGACGAACUUUGGCAAUGGUGCAUACUUAGGGAGAACACUUUUAUCUUGAAAUUUAGUGAGAGAUCAUCUUAUAAUGCUACGUCAAUCAAAGCAAGAUAAGAUGCAUAAAAGAUAAACAUCACAUGCAAUCAAUAUAAGUGAUAUGAUAUGGCCAUCAUCAUCUUGUGCUUGUGAUCUCCAUCUCUGAAGCACCGUCAUGAUCACCAUCGUCACCGGCGCGACACCUUGAUCUCCAUCGUAGCAUCGUUGUCGUCUCGCCAAUCUUAUGCUUCCACGACAAUCGCUACCGCUUAGUGAUAAAGUAACGCAUUACAACGCAAUUGCAUUGCAUACAAUAAAGCGACAACCAUAUGGCUCCUGCCAGUUGCCGAUAACUCGGUUACAAAACAUGAUCAUCUCAUACAAUAAAAUUUAGCAUCAUGUCUUGACCAUAUCACAUCACAACAUGCCCUGCAAAAACAAGUUAGACGUCCUCUACUUUGUUGUUGCAAGUUUUACGUGGCUACUACGGGCUUAGCAAGAACCGUUCUUACCUACGCAUCAAAACCACAACGAUAGUUUGUCAAGUUGGUGUUGUUUUAACCUUCGCAAGGACCGGGCGUAGCCACACUCGGUUCAACUAAAGUUGGAGAAACUGACACCCACCAGCCACCUGUGUGCAAAGCACGUCGGUAGAACCAGUCUCGCGUAAGCGUACGCGUAAUGUCGGUCUGGGCCGCUUCAUCCAACAAUACCGCCAAACCAAAAUAUGACAUGCUGGUAAGCAGUAUGACUUAUAUCGCCCACAACUCACUUGUGUUCUACUCAUGCACAACAUCAACGCAUAAAACCUAGGCUCGGAUGCCACUGUUGGGUAACGUAGUAAUUUUAAAAAAAUUCCUACGCACACGCAAGAUCAUGGUGAUGCAUAGGAACGAGAGGGGAGAGUGUUGUCCACGUACCCUCGUAGACCGAAAGCGGAAGCGUUAGCACAACGCGGUUGAUGUAGUCGUAUGUCUUCACGGCCCGACCGAUCAAGCACCAAAACUACGGCACCUCCGAGUUCUAGCACACGUUCAGCUCGAUGACGAUCCCCGGACUCUGAUCCAGCAGAAUGUCGGGGAAGAGUUCCGUUAGCACGACGGCGUGGUGACGAUCUUGAUGUUCUACUGUCGCAGGGCUUCGCCUAAGCACCACUACAAUAUUAUCGAGGACUAUGGUGGAGGGGGCACCGCACACGGCUAAGAGAUCAAUGAUCAACUGUUGUGUCUAUGGGGUGCCCCCCUACCCCCGUAUAUAAAGGAGCAAGGGAGGGAGGCGGCCGGCCUAGGAGGAGGGCGCGCCAAGGGGGGAGUCCUACUCCCACCGGGAGUAGGACUCCUCCUUCCCUUGUUGGAGUAGGAGAGAAGGAAAGAGGGGGAGAGGAACAAUGAAAAGUGGGUUGCACCCCUUGUCCAAUUCGGACCAGAGGGGGGGCGCGCGCCUCCUUCCUUUUGGCCUCUCUCCUCUAUUCCCGUAUGGCCCAAUAAGGCCCAUAUACUCCCCGGCGAAUUCCCGUAACUCUCCGGUACUCCGAAAAAUACCCGAAUCACUCGGAACCUUUCUGAUGCCCGAAUAUAGUCGUCCAAUAUAUCGAUCUUUACGUAUCGACCAUUUGGAAACUCCUCGUCAUGUCCCCGAUCUCAUCCGGGACUUCGAACUCCUUCGGUACAUCAAAACUCAUAAACUCAUAAUAUAACUGUCAUCGAAACCUUAAGCGUGCGGACCCUACGGGUUCGAGAACUAUGUAGACAUGACCGAGACACGUCUCCGGUCAAUAACCAAUAGCGGAACCUGGAUGCUCAUAUUGGCUCCCACAUAUUCUACGAAGAUCUUUAUCGGUCAGACCGCAUAACAACAUAUGUUGUUCCCUUUGUCAUCGGUAUGUUACUUGCCCGAGAUUCGAUCGUCGGUAUCUCAAUACCUAGUUCAAUCUCAUUACCGGCAAGUCUCUUUACUCGUUCCGUAAUACAUCAUCCUGCAACUAACUUAUUAGUUGCAAUUCUUGCAAGGCUUAAGUGAUGUGCAUUACCGAGAGGGCCCAGAGAUACCUCUCCGAUAAUCGGAGUGACAAAUCCUAAUCUCGAAAUACGCCAACCCAACAAGUACCUUCGGAGACACCUAUAGAGCACCUUUAUAAUCACCCAGUUACGUUGUGAUGUUUGGUAGCACACAAAGUGUUCCUUCGGUAAACGGGAGUUGCAUAAUCUCAUAGUCAUAGGAACAUGUAUAAGUUAUGAAGAAAGCAAUAGCAACAAACUAAACCAUCAAGUGCUAAGCUAAUGGAAUGGGUCAAGUCAAUCACAUCAUUCUCCUAAUGAUGUGAUCCCGUUAAUCAAAUGACAACUCAUGUCUAUGGCUAGGAAACAUAACCAUCUUCGAUCAACGAGCUAGUCAAGUAGAGGCAUACUAGUGACACUUUGUUUGUCUAUGUAUUCACACAUGUAUUAUGUUUCCGGUUAAUACAAUUCUAGCAUGAAUAAUAAACAUUUAUGAUGAAAUAAGGAAAUAAAUAAUAACUUUAUUAUUGCCUCUAGGGCAUAUUUCCUUCAAUCGGGUCUUCCUGGGAGAAGGAAUAUCUAUCAUUGACCGUGAGAGCUUGUGUUGGGCUAAGUUGGGACACCUCUGCAGGGUAUAAACUUUCGAAAGUCGUGCUCGCGGUUAUGUGGCAGAUGUGAAUUUGUUUAAUAUCCGAUUGUAGAGAACUUGACACUUAACUUAAUUAAAAUGCAUCAACCUCGUGUGUAGCCGUGAUGGUCUCUUUCCGGCGGAGUCCGGGAAGUGAACACGGUUCUUGUGUUAUGCUUGAACAUAAGUAGUUUCAGGAUCACUUCUUGAUCACUUCUAGUUCAUGACCGCUGCGUUGCUUCUCUUCUCGCUCUUAUUUGCGUAUGUUAGCCACCAUAUAUGCUUAGUGCUUGCUGCAGCUCCACCUCAUUACCCUAUCCUACCCUUAAGCUUAAAUAGUCUUGAUCUCGCGGGUGUGAGAUUGUUGAGUCCUCGUGACUCACAGAUCCUUCCAAACAGUUGUAGGUGCCGAUGAUGGCAGUGCAGGUGAUGCAACCGAGCUCAAGUGGGAGCUCGAUGAAGAUCUUAGUCGUUGUUUUGUGUCUUCCGGAUGAUCAGUAGUGGAGCCCAGUUGGGACGAUCGGGGAUCUAGCUUUUGGGGUUGUCUUCUUUUACUUUGGUUCCGUAGUCGGACCUUGAUUGUAUUCUGGAUGAUGUAUGUUAAACUUGUAUUUGUGUGAAGUGGCGAUUGUAAGCCAACUCUUUAUCCAUUUCUUAUUUGGUACAUGGGAUUGUGUGAAGAUUACCCUCUUGUGACAAACCUACCAUGAGGCUAUGCCUCUAAGUCGUGCCCCGACAUGUGGGAGAUAUAGCCGCAUUGUGGGUGUUACAGCUUCUCUUCUUAAUCAGCUCACCCAACUAUCAUUUUUAGGAAGUAUGUUUGUAUUAAAUCACAAACAAAUACAGAGUCUUUAAUCCAUACAAACACACCCUGACAAACACAUAAUAAACCAGGAAAACACAAACACCCUAACACAACCAGUAAAAUACGAAGAUCUCCGGAGUUUUGUGUCAUCAUUCCCAAACCUUGGGAGAAGACUUCUACAACACAAAAAUCGGCAACCAAAUCCAAGCAUGCCAACAUCUUCCAUCACGACAUAAUCACCACCACACCGCUCCUUUUUUUCGCUCCGACGCCGAAAAGACAUGGACACACAUAUGUAUCCAACACACCUGCACCAGCCUUCGCCAUCUAUGGCUUUGAGUACCGCUAUAUGUGUCCCUUCUAGAUUGAAGAUUACUAAAAUCUAGUUUCGGCGCCACGGCCGGGACAACCACCCGGUCAAAUCAGGACAUCCCUCUAACAACAAUACAAAGAAAGAGGAAGAACAACAUCAGAAAAUCAUACCGACAUGGAGGAGGAAGCCAACCAUCUGAGGUCCAACCUGACCAGUGUCGGAUGACCUCCUGACACCAUAGCCCGCGACCUUGAUGACAUCUAGGACCCCCUACCUCUUUGGCUCCUAACGAAGGCAAGAACUUCGCCUGACCGUGAACGGAGUCCGACGAAACUUAUUCAGACGCGACGCCGCCGCAACGGGUGUCUCCCUCAAUCCUAACCCUACUAAGAACCCACCCAACACUGGAGAUAGAGCACUAAUUGCAGUUUUCACCCCACCUUAACGAUCGAGCGAGGGAUGAAAUCUUUCGACGACUAGGGAGGCGUCACCCGAGGCCGAUUCCAGUGGAUCACUAUAGAAUCUUUGAUACGUCUCCAACGUAUCUAUAAUUUUUGAUUGCUCCAUUCUAUAUUAUCUACUGUUUUGGACAUUAUUGGGCUUUAUUAUCCACUUUUAUAUUAUUUUUGGGACUAACCUACUAACCGGAGGCCCAGCCCAGAAUUGUUGUUUUUUGCCUAUUUCAGAGUUUCGCAGAAAAGGAAUAUCAAACAGAGUCCAAACAGAAUGAAACCUUCGGGAACGUGAUUUUCGGAACAAACACGAUCCAGGAGACUUGGACCCUACGUCAAGAAAUAAAGGAGGAAGCCACGAGGUAGGGGGCUCGCCUACCCCCCUGUUCGGGAACGUAGUAAUUUCAAAAAAUUUACUACGCACACGCAAGAUCAUGGUGAUGCAUAGCAACGAGAGGGGAGAGUGUGAUCUACGUAGCCUUGUAGACCGACAGCGGAAGCGUUAGCACAACGCGGUUGAUGUAGUCGUACGUCUUCACGGCCCGACCGAUCAAGCACCGAAACUACGGCACCUCCGAGUUCUAGCACACGUUCAGCUCGAUGACGAUCCCCGGACUCCGAUCCAACAAAGUGUCGGGGAAGAGUUCCAUCAGCACGACGGCGUGGUGAUGAUCUUGAUGUACUACCGUCGCAGGGCUUCGCCUAAGCACCACUACAAUAUUAUCGAGGACUAUGGUGGAAGGGGGCACCGCACACGGUUAAGAAUAUGAUCGCGUGGAUCAACUUGUGUGUCUAGGGGUGCCCCCUGCCCCCGUAUAUAAAGGAUCAAAGGAAGGGUGCGGCCGGCCAGGAGGAGGGCGCGCCAGGAGGAGUCCUACUCCCACCAGGAGUAGGAUCCCCCCCCUUUCCUAGUUGGAAUAGGAUUCAGGAGGGGGAAAGAGGAGAGAGAGAAGGAAGGGGGGCGCCGCCCCCCUCUCCUUAUCCUAUUCGGACUAGGGGGGAGGGGUGCACGGCCCAGCCCUGGCCACCUCUCCUCUCUUCCACUAAAGCCCACUAAGGCCCAUAUACCUCCCGGGGGGGUCCGGUAACCUCCCGGUACUCCGGUAAAAUCCUGAUUUCACCCGGAACACUUCCGAUAUCCAAAUAUAGGCUUCCAAUAUAUCAAUCUUUAUGUCUCGACCAUUUCGAGACUCCUCGUCAUGUCCGUGAUCAUAUCCGGGACUCCAAACAAACUUCAGUACAUCAAAAUGCAUAAACUCAUAAUAUAACUGUCAUCGAAACCUUAAGCGUGCGGACCCUACGGGUUCGAGAACAAUGUAGACAUGACCGAGACACGUCUCCGGUCAAUAACCAAUAGCGGAACCUGGAUGCUCAUAUUGGCUCCUACAUAUUCUACGAAGAUCUUUUAUCGGUCAGACCGCAUAACAACAUAUGUUGUUCCCUUUGUCAUCGGUAUGUUACUUGCCCGAGAUUCGAUCAUCGGUAUCUCAAUACCUAGUUCAAUCUCGUUACCGGCAAGUCUCUUUACUCGUUCCGUAAUACAUCAUAUCACAACUAACUCAUUAGUUGCAAUGCUUGCAAGGCUUAUGUGAUGUGCAUUACCGAGAGGGCCCAGAGAUACCUCUCCGACAAUCGGAGUGACAAAUCCUAAUCUCGAAAUACGCCAACCCAACAUGUACCUUUGGAGACACCUGUAGAGCACCUUUAUAAUCACCCAGUUACGUUGUGACAUUUGGUAGCACACUAAGUGUUCCUCCGGCAAACGGGAGUUGCAUAAUCUCAUAGUCAUAGGAACAUGUAUAAGUCAUGAAGAAAGCAAUAGCAACAUACUAAACGAUCGGGUGCUAAGCUAAUGGAAUGGGUCAUGUCAAUCAGAUCAUUCACCUAAUGAUGUGAUCCCGUUAAUCAAAUAACAACUCUUUGUCCAUGGUUAGGAAACAUAACCAUCUUUGAUUAACGAGCUAGUCAAGUAGAGGCAUACUAGUGACACUCUGUUUGUCUAUGUAUUCACACAUGUAUUAUGUUUCCGGUUAAUACAAUUCUAGCAUGAAUAAUAAACAUUUAUCAUGAUAUAAGGAAAUAAAUAAUAACUUUAUUAUUGCCUCUAGGGCAUAUUUCCUUCAGUCUCCCACUUGCACUAGAGUCAAUAAUCUAGAUUACACAGUAAUGAUUCUAACACCCAUGGAGCCUUGGUGCUGAUCAUGUUUUGCUCAUGGAAGAGGCUUAGUCAACAGGUCUGCUACAUUUAGAUCCGUAUGUAUCUUGCAAAUCUCUAUGUCUCCCACCUGGACUAGAUCCCGGAUGGAAUUGAAGCAUCUCUUGAUGUGCUUGGUUCUCUUGUGAAAUUUGGAUUCCUUUGCCAAGGCAAUUGCACCAGUAUUGUCACAAAAGAUUUUCAUUGGACCCGAUGCACUAGGUAUGACACCUAGAUCGGAUAUGAACUCCUUCAUCCAGACUCCUUCAUUUGCUGCUUCCGAAGCAGCUAUGUAUUCUGCUUCACACGUAGAUCCUGCCACAACGCUUUGUUUAGAACUGCACCAACUGACAGCUCCACCGUUUAAUGUAAACACGUAUCCGGUUUGCGAUUUAGAAUCGUCCGGAUCAGUGUCAAAGCUCGCAUCAACGUAACCAUUUACGAUGAGCUCUUUGUCACCUCCAUAAACGAGAAACAUAUCCUUAGUCCUUUUUAGGUAUUUCAGGAUGUUCUUGACCGCUGUCCAGUGAUCCACUCCUGGAUUACUUUGGUACCUCCCUGCUAGACUUAUAGCAAGGCACACAUCAGGUCUGGUACACAGCAUUGCAUACAUGAUAGAGCCUAUGGCUGAAGCAUAGGGAACAUCUUUCAUUUUCUCUCUAUCUUCUGCAGUGGUCGGGCAUUGAGUCUUACUCAACUUCACACCUUGUAACACAGGCAAGAACCCUUUCUUUGCUUGAUCCAUUUUGAACUUCUUCAAAACUUUGUCAAGGUAUGUGCUUUUUGAAAGUCCAAUUAAGCGUCUUGAUCUAUCUCUAUAGAUCUUAAUGCCUAAUAUGUAAGCAGCUUCACCGAGGUCUUUCAUGGAAAAACUCUUAUUCAAGUAUCCCUUUAUGCUAUCCAGAAAUUCUAUAUCAUUUCCAAUUAGUAAUAUGGCAUCCACAUAUAAUAUCAGAAAUGCUAAAGAGCUCCCACUCACUUUCUUGUAAAUACAGGCUUCUCCAAAAGUCUAUAUAAAACCAAAUGCUUUGAUCACACUAUCAAAGCGUGUAUUCCAACUCCAAGAGGCUUGCACCAGUCCAUAAAUGGAUCGCUGGAGCUUGCACACUUUGUUAGCUCCCUUUGGAUCGAUAAAACCUUCUAGUUGCAUCAUAUACAACUCUUCUUCCAGAAAUCCAUUCAGGAAUGCAGUUUUACAUCCAUCUGCCAAAUUUCAUAAUCAUAAAAUGCGGCAAUUGCUAACAUGAUUCGGACAGACUUAAGCAUCGCUACGAGUGAGAAGGUCUCAUCGUAGUCAAUCCCUUGAACUUGCCGAAAACCUUUUUGCCACAAGUCGAGCUUUGUAGACAAUAAUAUUACCGUCAGCGUCAUCUUCUUCUUGAAGAUCCAUUUAUUAUCAAUUGCUUGCCGAUCAUUGCGCAAGUCAACCAAAGUCCAUACUUUGUUCUCAUACAUGGAUCCCAUCUCAGAUUUCAUGGCUUCAAGCCAUUUUGCAGAAUCUGGGCUCACCAUCGCUUCUUCAUAGUUCGUAGGUUCAUCAUGAUCUAGUAGCAUGACUUCCAGAACAGGAUUACCAUACCACUCUAGCGCGGAUCUCACUCUGGUUGAUCUACGAGGUUCAGUAGUAUCUUGUUCUGAAGUUUCAUGAUCAUUAUCAUUAGCUUCCUCACUAAUUGGUGUAGGUGUCGUAGAAACAGGUUUCUGUGAUGUACUACUUCCCAAUAAGGGAGUAGGUACAGUUACCUCAUCAAGUUCUACUUUCCUCCCACUCACUUCUUUCGAGAGAAACUCCUUCUCCAGAAAGUUUCUGAAUUUGGCAACAAAAGUCUUGCCUUCGGAUCUGUGAUAGAAGGUGUAUCCAAUAGUUUCCUUUGGAUAUCCUAUGAAGACACAUUUCUCCGAUUUGGGUUCGAGCUUAUCAGGUUGAAGCUUUUUCACAUAAGCAUCGCAGCCCCAAACUUUCAGAAACGACAACUUUGGUUUCUUGCCAAACCACAGUUCAUAAGGCGUCGUCUCAAUGGAUUUUGAUGGUGCCCUAUUUAACGUGAAUGCGGCCGUCUCUAGAGCGUAUCCCCAAAACGAUAGCGGUAAAUCAGUAAGAGACAUCAUAGAUCGCACCAUAUCUAGUAAAGUACGAUUACGACGUUCGGAUACACCAUUACGCUGUGGUGUUCCGGGUGGCGUGAGUUGCGAAACUAUUCCACAUUGUUUCAAAUGUACACCAAACUCGUAACUCAAAUAUUCUCCUCCACGAUCAGAUCGUAGGAAUUUUAUUUUCUUGUUACGAUGAUUUUCAACUUCACUCUAAAAUUCUUUGAACUUUUCAAAUGUUUCAUACUUGUGUUUCAUUAAGUAGAUAUACGCAUAUCUGCUUAAGUCAUCUGUGAAGGUGAGAAAAUAGCGAUAUCCGCCACGAGCCUCAACAUUCAUCGGACCACAUACAUCUGUAUGUAUGAUUUCCAACAAAUCUGUUGCUCUCUCCAUAGUACCGGAGAACGGUGUUUUUGUCAUCUUACCCAUAAGGCACGGUUCGCAAGUACCAAGUGAUUCAUAAUCAAGUGGUUCCAAAAGUCCAUCAGUAUGGAGUUUCUUCAUGCGCUUUAUACCGAUAUGACCCAAACAGCAGUGCCACAAAUAAGUUGCACUAUCAUUAUCAACUCUGCAUCUUUUGGCUUCAACACUAUGAAUAUGUGUGUCACUACUAUCGAGAUUUAAUAAGAAUAUACCACUCUUUAAGGGUGCAUGACCAUAAAAGAUAUUACUCAUGUAAAUAGAACAACCAUUAUUCUCUGAUUUAAAUGAAUAACCAUCUCGCAUCAAACAAGAUCCAGAUACAAUGUUCAUGCGUAACGCUGGCACCAAAUAACAAUUAUUUAGGUCUAAUACUAAUCCCGAAGGUAGAUGUAGAGGUAGCGUGCCGUCUGCGAUCACAUCGACUUUGGAACCAUUUCCCACGCGCAUCGUCACCUCGUCCUUAGCCAAUCUUUGCUUAAUCCGUAGUCCCUGUUUCGAGUUGCAAAUGUUAGCAACAGAACCAGUAUCAAAUACCCAGGUGCUACUGCGAGCAUUAGUAAGGUACACAUCAAUAACAUGUAUAUCACAUAUACCUUUGUUCACCUUGCCAUCCUUCUUAUCCGCCAAAUACUUGGGGCAGUUCCGCUUCCAGUGACCAGUCUGCUUGCAGUAGAAGCACUCAGUUUCAGGCUUAGGUCCAGGUUUGGGUUUCUUCUCUUGAGUAGCAACUUGCUUGUUGUUCUUUUUGAAGUUCCCCUUCUUCUUCCCUUUGCCCUUUUUCUUGAAACUAGUGGUCUUGUUGACCAUCAACACUUGAUGCUCCUUCUUGAUUUCUACCUCCGCAGCUUUCAGCAUUGCGAAGAGCUCGGGAAUAGUCUUAUUCAUCCCUUGCAUAUUAUAGUUCAUCACGAAGCUCUUGUAGCUUGGUGGCAGUGAUUGGAGAAUUAUGUUAAUGACGCAAUCAUCUGGAAGAUUAACUCCCAAUUGAAUCAAGUGAUUAUUAUACCCAGAUAUUUUGAGUAUAUGCUCACUGACAGAACUAUUCUCCUCCAUCUUGCAGCUAUAGAACUUAUUGGAGACUUCAUAUCUCUCAAUCCGGGCAUUUGCUUGAAAUAUUAACUUCAACUCCUGGAACAUCUCAUAUGCUCCAUGACGUUCAAAACGUCGUUGAAGUCCCGAUUCUAAGCUGUAAAGCAUGGCACACUGAACUAUCGAGUAGUCAUCAGCUUUGCUCUGCCAGACGUUCAUAACAUCUGGUGUUGCUCCAGCAGCAGGCCUGGCACCCAGCGGUGCUUCCAGGACGUAAUUCUUCUAUGCAGCAAUGAGGAUAAUCCUCAAGUUACGGACCCAGUCCGUGUAAUUGCUACCAUCAUCUUUCAACUUUGCUUUCUCAAGGAACGCAUUAAAAUUCAACGGAACAACAGCACGGGCCAUCUAUCUACAAUCAAACAUAAAUAAGCAAGAUACUAUCAGGUACUAAGUUCAUGAUAAAUUUAGGUUCAAUUAAUCAUAUUACUUAAAGAACUCCCACUUAGAUAGACAUCCCUCUAAUCCUCUAAGUGAUUACGUGAUCCAAAUCAACUAAACCAUGUCCGAUCAUCACGUGAGAUGGAGUAGUUUCAUUGGUGAACAUCACUAUGUUGAUCAUAUUUACUAUAUGAUUCACGCUCGACCUUUCGGUCUCCGUGUUCCGAGGCCAUAUCUGUAUAUGCUUGACUCGUCAAGUAUAACCUGAGUAUUCCGCAUGUGCAACUGUUUUGCAUCCGUUGUAUUUGAACAUAGAGCCUAUCACACCCGAUCAUCACGUGGUGUCUCAGCAUGAAGAACUUUCGCAACGGUGCAUACUCAGGGAGAACACUUCUUGAUAAUUAGUGAGAGAUCAUCUUAUAAUGCUACCGUCAAUCAAAGCAAGAUAAGAUGCAUAAAAGAUAAACAUCACAUGCAAUCAAUAUAAGUGAUAUGAUAUGGCCAUCAUCAUCUUGUGCUUGUGAUCUCCAUCUUUGAAGCACCGUCGUGAUCACCAUCGUCACCGGCGCGACACCUUGAUCUCCAUCGUAGCAUCAUUGUCGUCUCGCCAAUCUUAUGCUUCCACGACUAUCGCUACCGCUUAGUGAUAAAGUAAAGCAUUACAGCACGAUUGCAUUGCAUACAAUAAAGCGACAACCAUAUGGCUCCUGCCAGUUGCCGAUAACUCGGUUACAAAACAUGAUCAUCUCAUACAAUAAAAUUUAGCAUCAUGUCUUGACCAUAUCACAUCACAACAUGCCCUGCAAAAACAAGUUAGACGUCCUCUACUUUGUUGUUGCAAGUUUUAUGUGGCUGCUAUGGGCUUAAGCAAGAACCAAUCUUACCUACACAUCAAAACCACGACGAUAGUUUGUCAAGUUGGUGCUGUUUUAACCUUCGCAAGGACCGGGCGUAGCCACACUCGGUUCAACUAAAGUUGGAGAAACUGUCACCCGCUAGCCACCUUUGUGCAAAGCACGUCGGGAGAACCGGUCUCGCGUAAGCGUACGCGUAAUGUCGGUCCGGGCCGCUUCGUCAAACAAUACCGCCGAACCAAAGUAUGACAUGCUGGUAAGCAGUAUGACUUAUAUCACCCACAACUCACUCAUGUUCUACUCGUGCAUAUAACAUCAACACAUAAAACCUAGGCUCGGAUGCCACUGUUGGGGAACGUAGUAAUUUCAAAUAAUUUCCUACGCACACGCAAGAUCAUGGUGAUGCAUAGCAACGAGAGGGGAGAGUGUGAUCUACGUACCCUUGUAGACCGACAGCAGAAGCGUUAGCACAACGCGGUUGAUGUAGUCGUACGUCUUCACGGCCCAACCGAUCAAGCACCGAAACUACGGCACCUCCGAGUUCUAGCACACGUCCAGCUCGAUGACGAUCCCCGGACUCCGAUCCAGCAAAGUGUCGAGGAAGAGUUCCGUCAGCACGACGGCGUGGUGACGAUCUUGAUGUACUACCGUCGCAAGGCUUCGCCUAAGCACCGCUACAAUAUUAUCGAGGACUAUGGUGGAAGGGGGCACCGCACACGGUUAAGAAUAUGAUCAUGUGGAUCAACUUGUGUGUCUAGGGGUGCCCCCUGCCCCCGUAUAUAAAGGAUCAGAGGGGGGGUGCGGCCGGCCAGGAGGAGGGCGCGCCAGGAGGAGUCCUACUCCCACCGGGAGUAGGAUUCCCCCCCUUUCCUAGUUGGAAUAGGAUUCGGGAGGGGGAAAGAGGAGAGAGAGAAGGAAGGGGGGCGCCGCCCCCCUCUCCUUAUCCUAUUCGGACUAGGGGGGAGGGGCGCGCGGCCCAGCCCUGGCCACCUCUCCUCUCUUCCACUAAAGCCCACUAAGGCCCAUAUACCUCCCGGGGGGGGGUCCGGUAACCUCCCGGUACUCCGGUAAAAUCCCGAUUUCACCCGGAACACUUCCAAUAUCCAAAUAUAGGCUUCCAAUAUAUCAAUCUUUAUGUCUCAACCAUUUCGAGACUCCUCGUCAUGUCCGUGAUCACAUCCGGGACUCCGAACAAACUUCGUUACAUCAAAAUGCAUAAACUCAUAAUAUAACUGUCAUCGAAACCUUAAGCAUGCGGACCCUACGGGUUCGAGAACAAUGUAGACAUGACCGAGACACGUCUCCGGUCAAUAACCAAUAGCGGAACCUGGAUGCUCAUAUUGGCUCCUACAUAUUCUACGAAGAUCUUUUAUCGGUCAGACCGCAUAACAACAUACGUUGUUCCCUUUGUCAUCGGUAUGUUACUUGCCCGAGAUUCGAUCGUCGGUAUCUCAAUACCUAGUUCAACCUCGUUACCGGCAAGUCUCUUUACUCGUUCCGUAAUACAUCAUCUCACAACUAACUCAUUAGUUGCAAUGCUUGCAAGGCUUAUGUGAUGUGCAUUACCGAGAGGGCCCAGAGAUACCUCUCCGACAAUCGGAGUGACAAAUUCUAAUCUCGAAAUACGCCAACCCAACAUGUACCUUUGGAGACACCUGUAGAGCACCUUUAUAAUCACCCAGUUACGUUGUGACGUUUGGUAGCACACAAAGUGUUCCUCCGGCAAACGGGAGUUGCAUAAUCUCAUAGUCAUAGGAACAUGUAUAAGUCAUGAAGAAAGCAAUAGCAACAUACUAAACGAUCGGGUGCUAAGCUAAUGGAAUGGGUCAUGUCAAUCAGAUCAUUCACCUAAUGAUGUGAUCCCGUUAAUCAAAUAACAACUCUUUGUCCAUGGUUAGGAAACAUAACCAUCUUUGAUUAACGAGCUAGUCAAUUAGAGGCAUACUAGUGACACUCUGUUUGUCUAUGUAUUCACACAUGUAUUAUGUUUCCGGUUAAUACAAUUCUAGCAUGAAUAAUAAACAUUUAUCAUGAUAUAAGGAAAUAAAUAAUAACUUUAUUAUUGCCUCUAGGGCAUAUUUCCUUCACCCCCCCAGGAGCGCCCUCCACCCACGUGGCCCCCCUGUUUCUCCACCGACGUACUCUUUCCUCCUAUAUAUACCUACGUACCCUCAAACGAUCAGGGAUGGAGCCAAAAACCUAAUUCCACUGCCACAACCUUCUGUAUCCACGAGAUCCCAUCUUGGGGCCUGUUCCAGAGCUUCGUCGGAGGGGGCAUGCAUCACGUAGGGCUUCUACAUCAACACCAUAGCCUCUCCGAUGAAGUGUGAGUAGUUUACCUCAGACCUUCGGGUCCAUAGUUAUUAGCUAGAUGGCUUCUUCUUUCUUUUUGGAUCUCAAUACAACAUUCUCCCCCUCUCUUGUGGAGAUCUAUUCGAUGUAAUCUUCUUUUUGCGGUGUGUUUGUUGAGAUCGAUGAAUUGUGGGUUUAUGAUCAAGAUUAUCUAUGAACAAUAUUUGAAUCUUCUCUGAAUUCUUUUAUGUAUGAUUGAUUAUCUUUGCAAGUCUCUUCGAAUUAUCAGUUUGGUUUAGCCUACUAGAUUGAUCUUUCUUGCAAUGGGAGAAGUGUUUAGCUUUGGGUUCAAUCUUGCGGUGUCCUUUCCUAGUGACAGUAGGGGCAGCAAGGCACGUAUUGUAUUGUUGCCACCAAGGAUAACAAGAUGGGUUUUUUUUAUCAUAUUGCAUGAAUUUAUCCCUCUACAUCAUGUCAUCUUGCUUAAGGCGUUACUCUGUUUUCAUGAACUUAAUACUCUAGAUGCAUGCUGGAUAGCGGUCGAUGAGUGGAGUAAUAGUAGUAGAUGCAGGUAGGAGUCGUUCUACUUCUCUCGGACAUGAUGUCUAUAUACAUGAUCAUACCUAGAUAUUCUCAUAACUAUGCUCAAUUCUGUCAAUUGCUCAACAGUAAUUCGUUCACCCAUCGUAAAAUACUUAUGCUCUUGAGAGAAGCCACUAGUGAAACCUAUGGCCCCGGGGUCUAUCUUUAUCAUAUUAAUCUUCCAAUACUUAGUUAUUUCCUUUGCUUUUUUACUUUGCUUUUAUUUUACUUUGCAUCUUUAUCACAAAAAUACCAAAAAUAUUACUCUAUCAUAUCUAUCAGAUCUCACUCUCGUAAGUGACCUUGAAGGGAUUGACAACCCCUUAUCGCGUUGGUUGCGAGGAGUUAUUUGUUUUGUGCAGGUACGAGGGACUCGCGCGUAGCCUCGUACUGGAUUGAUACCUUGGUUCUCAAAAACUGAGGGAAAUACUUACGCUACUUUGCCGCAUCAUCCUUUCCUCUUCAAGGAAAUCCAACACAGUGCUCAAGAGGUAGCAAGAAGAUUUUUGGCGCCGUUGCCGGGGAGUCUACGCAAAAGUCAACAUACCAAGUACCCAUCACAACCCUUAUCUCCCGCAUUACAUUAUUUGUCAUUUGCCUCUCGUUUUCCUCUCCCCCACUUCACCUUUGCCGUUUUAUUCGCCCUCUCUCUCUCUAUCCUCCCUCUCUUUCUCUAUUUGCCUCUUUUUGCCCGCUUGCUUUUUGUUUGCUUGUGUGUUGGAUUGCUUGCUUGUCGCUAUGGCUAGUCCCUUAUCCACUCUGUUGUCCCCUGAGUUUGAAGUCUUUCACUUCAAACAAAGACAAGGAGAAAACUUAAAAGAUGCAUGGUUGAGGAUAAUGGAGUCUUAUCGUAAUUGUACCUUUGAAGUGAACCUGAGAAUUUUUCUUUGCAAUUUCUAUGUUGGAUUAAAUAUGUCUCAUAGACAAUUCUUGGAUUGCGUUGCCAAAGGCAAUUUUAUUGAAAUUGAUCCCCAUAUUGCGCUUGAAAUUAUAGAAGGUAUAGUGGGAACACUACCUUAACAAAAGGGGCCUCAUCCUACCCAGGAAGAGACACAAGUUUUUGUAAAAAAUUGUGAAGUUACUAAGAUUUUACAGAAGUCUCUUGAACCUCUUAAGAACGUUAGCAAAAAUAUUCACCGCAUGAAUAUGUUGAUUACUCUUUGCAAUAAACGGUUGGAUUAUUUAGAUCUAAAAAUUUUAGAAUAUGAAGGGAAACAUAAAGAACCUCCCGGAUUCGAGCUUAAUUCCACUAAAAAGUUGAAAACCAAAGGUGGCAAUACUUAGAUAUAUCCUUGCUUUUUAUGCCUAGCUAGGGGCGUUAAACGAUAGCGCUUGUUGGGAGGAAACCCAAUUUUAUUUUUAUUCCUUGCUUUUUGCUCCUGUUUAGUAAUAAAUAAUUUACCUAGCCUCUGUUUUGGUUGUGUUCUUUGUGUUUAAUUAGUGUUUGUGCCAGGUAGAACCGUUGGAAAGACUUGGGGAAAGUCUUGAUAUCUUGCUAUAAAAAACAGAAACUUUAGCGCUCACGAGAACUGCUGCCAUUUUUAUUUGGAAAGUGAUAUUUAGUUAAUUCUUUUUGCAUAUUAUUAAUAGAUAAAUUCCUCACGUCCAGCAAUUUAUUUUAGAAUUUUUAGGGUUCCAGAUCUUGCGCUAGUUACAGAUUAUCACAGACUGUUCUGUUUUUGACAGAUUCUAUUUUUCGUGUGUUGUUUGCUUAUUUUGAUGAAUCUAUGGCUAGUAAAAUAGUUUAUAAACCAUAGAGAAGUUGGAAUACAGUAGGUUUAACACCAAUAUAAAUAAAGAAUGAGUUCAUCAAAGUAUCUUGAAGUGAUCUUUUGUUUUCUUUCGCUAACGGAGCUCAUGAGAUUUUCUACUUUAAGUUUUGUGUUGUGAAGUUUUCAAGUUUUGGAUAAAGAUUUGAUGGAUUAUGGAACAAGGAGUGGCAAGAGCUUAAGUUUGGGGAUUCCCAUGGCACCCCCAAGAUAAUCUAAGGACACCUAAAAGCCAAAGCUUGGGGAUGCCCCGGAAGGCACCCCCUCUUUCGUCUACUUCCAUUGGUAACUUUACUUGGAGCUAUAUUUUUAUUCACCACAUGAUAUGUGUUUUGCUUGGAGCGUCUUGUAUGAUUUGAGUCUUUUCUUUUUAGUUUACCACAAUAAUCCUUGCUAUACACACCUUUUGAGAGAGCCAUACAUGAUUUGGAAUUUGUUAGAAUACUCUAUGUGCUUGACUUAUAUCUUUUGAGUUAUAUAGUUUUGCUCUAGUACUUCACUUAUAUCUUUUAGAGCACGGUGGUGGAUUUGUUUUAUAGAAUCUAUUGAUCUCUCAUGCUUCACUUAGAUUAUUUUGAGAGUCUUAAAUAGCAUGGUAAUUUGCUUAAAUAAUCUUAAUAUGCUAGGUAUUCAAGAUUAGUAAAAAAAUUCUUAUGAGUGUUUUGAAUACUAAGAGAAGUUUGAUGCUUGAUGAUUGUUUUGAGAUAUGGAGGUAAUAAUAUCAAACUCAUGCUAGUUGAGUAGUUGUAAAUUUGAGAAAUGUUUGUGUUGAAGUUUGCAAGUCCCGUAGCAUGCACGUAUGGUAAACAUUAUGUAACAAAUUUGAAACAUGAGGUGUUCUUUGAUUGUCCUCCUUAUGAGUGGCGGUCGGGGAUGAGCGAUGGUCUUUUUCUACCAAUAUAUCCCCCUAGGAGCAUGCACGUAGUGCUUAGUUUUUGAUGACUUGUAGAUUUUUGCAAUAAGUAAGUGAGUUCUUUAUGACUAAUGUUGAGUCCAUGGAUUAUACGCACUCUCACCCUUCCAUCAUUGCUAACCUCUUCGGUACCGUGCAUUGCCCUUUCUCACAUUGAGAGUUGGUGCAAACUUCGCCGGUGCAUCCAAACCCCGUGAUAUGAUACACUCUUUCACACAUAAACCUCCUUAUAUCUUCCUCAAAACAGCCACCAUACCUACCUAUUAUGGCAUUUCCAUAGCCAUUUCGAGAUAUAUUGCCAUGCAACUUUCCACCAUUCCGUUUAUCAUGACACAUUCAUCAUUGUCAUAUUGCUUAGCAUGAUCAUGUAGUUGACAUAGUAUUUGUGGCAAAGCCACCAUUCAUAAUUCUUUCAUACAUGUCACUCUUGGUUCAUUGCAUAUCCCGGAGGCAUUCAUAUAGAGUCAUCUUUUGUUCUAGCAUCGAGUUGUAAUCAUUGAGUUGUAAAUAAAUAGAAGUGUGAUGAUCAUCAUUUUCUAGAGCAUUGUCCCCCCCAAGUGAGGAAUUAAAAAAAAGGGGGAAGAAAGGCCAUAAAAAGAAAAGAAAAGAAGGCCCAAAAAAGAGAGAAAAAGAGAGAAGGGACAAUGCUACUAUCCUUUGCCACACUUGGGCUUCAAAGUAGCACCAUAAUCUUCAUGAUAGAGUCUUUUGUUUUGUCACUUUCAUAUACUAGUGGGAAUUUUUCAUUAUAGAACUUGGCUUGUAUAUUCUAACAAUGGGCCUCCUCAAGUGCCCUAGGUCUUCAUGAGCAAGCAAGUUGGAUGCACACCCACUUAGUUUCUUCUGUUGAGCUUUCAUACAUUUAUAGCUCUAGUGCAUCCGUUGCAUGGCAAUUCCUACUCCUUGCAUUAACAUCAAUCGAUGGGCAUCUCCAUAGCCCAUUGAUUAGCCUCAUUGAUGUGAGACUUUCUCUUUUUUUUCUCCAUAUAACCCCCAUCAUCAUAUUCUAUUCCACCCAUAGUGCUAUGUCCAUGGCUCGCGCUCAUAUAUUGCGUGAAAGUUUAUAGGUUUGAGAUUACUAAAGUAUGAAACGAUUGCUUGGCUUGUCAUCGGGGUUGUGCAUGAUGAGAGCAUUCUUGUGUGACGAAAAUGGAGCAUGACUAAACUAUAUGAUUUUGUAGGGAUGAACUUUCUUUGGCCAUGUUAUUUUGAGAAGACAUAAUUUCUUAGUUAGUAUGCUUGAAGUAUUAUUAUUUUUAUGUCAAUAUGAACUUUUAUCUUGAAUCUUUCGGAUCUGAAUAUUCAUACCACAAUUAAGAAGAAUUACAUUGAAAUUAUGCCAAGCAGCCCUCCACAUCAAAAAUUAUCUUUUUUUAUCAUUUACCUACUCGAGGACGAGCAGGAAUUAAGCUUGGGGAUGCUUGAUACGUCUCCAACGUAUCUAUAAUUUUUGAUUGCUCCAUGCUGUAUUAUCUACUGUUUUGGAUGUUAUUGGGCGUUAUUAUCCACUUUUAUAUUAUUUUUGGGACUAACCUAUUAACCGGAGGCCCAGCCCAGAAUUGCUGUUUUUUGCCUAUUUCAGAGUUCUGUAGAAAAGGAAUAUCAAACGGAGUCCAAACGGAAUGAAACCUUCGGAAACGUGAUUUUCGGAACGAACAUGAUCCAGGAGACUUGGACCCUACGUCAAGAAAUAAAGGAGGAAGCCAUGAGGUAGGGGGCGCGCCUACCCCCCCCCUCUCAAGCGCGCCCUCCACCAUCGUGGGCCCCAUGUUGCUCCACUGACAUACUCCUUCCUCCUAUAUAUACCUACGUACCCUCAAACGAUCAGGGACGGAGCCAAAAACCUAAUUCCACUGCCGCAACCUUCUGUAUCCACGAGAUCCCAUCUUGGGGCCUGUUUCGGAGCUCAGCCGGAGGGGGCAUCCAUCACGGAGGGCUUCUACAUCAACACCAUAGCCUCUCCAAUGAAGUGUGAGUAGUUUACCUCAGACCUUCGGGUCCAUAGUUAUUAGCUAGAUGGCUUCUUCUUUCUUUUUGGAUCUCAAUACAACAUUCUCCCCCUCUCUUGUGGAGAUCUAUUCGAUGUAAUCUUCUUUUUGCGGUGUGUUUGUUGAGACCGAUGAAUUGUGGGUUUAUAAUCAAGAUUAUCUAUGAACAAUAUUUGAAUCUUCUCUAAAUUCUUUACCUAUGAUUGGUUAUCUUUGCAAGUCUCUUCAAAUUAUCAGUUUGGUUUGGCCUACUAGAUUGAUUUUUCUUGCAAUGGGAGAAGUGUUUAGCUUUGGGUUCAAUCUUGCGGUGUCCUUUCCCAGUGAUAGUAGGGGCAGUAAGGCACGUAUUGUAUUGUUGCUAUCGAGGAUAACGAGAUGGGUUUUUUUAUCAUAUUGCAUGAAUUUAUCCUUCUACAUCAUGUCAUCUUGCUUAAGGCGUUACUCUGUUUUCAUGAACUUAAUACUCUAGAUGCAUGCUGGAUAGCGGUCGAUGAGUGGAGUAAUAGUAGUAGAUGCAGGCAGGAGUCGGUCUACUUGUCUCGGACGUGAUGCCAUAUACACGAUCAUACCUAGAUAUUCUUAUAACUAUGCUCAAUUCUGUCAAUUGCUCAACAGUAAUUCGUUCACUCACCGUAAAAAUACUUAUGCUCUUGAGAGAAGCCACUAGUGAAACCUAUGGCCCCGGGGUCUAUCUUUAUCAUAUUAAUCUUCCAAUACCUAGUUAUUUCCUUUGCUUUUAUUUUACUUUGCAUCUUUAUCAUAAAGUACCAAAAAUAUUACUCUAUCAUAUCUACUAGAUCUCACUCUCGUAAGUAACCGUGAAAGGAUCGACAACCCCUUAUCGUAUUGGUUGCGAGGAGUUAUUUGUUUUGUGUAGGUACGAGGGACUCGCGCGAACUUCCUACUGGAUUGAUACCUUGGUUCUUAAAAACUGAGGAAAAUACUUACGCUACUUUGCUGCAUCAUCCUUUCCUCUUCAAGGAAAUCCAACGCAAUGCUUAAGAGAUAGCAAUCUGUGAAGGGAGAAGGAAUCAACGUCGGCACCGGUGGAUCGCAAAGGGACUCGCUCCUGUUCGCCUAACCACUCGCAAGAUGCAGCGUACCCAACAAUUAUUUGAUGCAUUAGCUUCACAUACUAUAACGUUCUACUGUCACGAACAGGGAUCUUCCUAAAACAACCGCAAGAUCACUGUCAUCCAAAGAACAGAAUAGUGAAUCUCUGUAAACAAAUAUAACAGUGUUUAGAUCACUAUUUUAGUGAUUUAAACACUCUUAUAUUUUUUUACGGAGGGAGUACUAUGAAAUUUGCAUCACUGGGUCAAGGUCUCUCUGGACUUCUCUUUUGCCUCUGGGCACGGAGGGAGUACUAUGAAAUUUGCAUCACUGGGUCAAGGUCUCUCUGGACUUCUCUUUUGCCUCUCCCAGAGUUAUUCUUCCACUGUUCCAGCAUCCUCCAGUUCAAUACCUUCAUCCUCCUUUCAUGGACUGGCACGGGCAAGCAGCGAUGUCUAGAGCAAGAGAUGAAAACUUGGGUUUAGGAGGCCGUCACCGAGUCAUCUAUAGAUUGGUUAUAUUCAGAUUCAUUUGAUUUUGAUUUUCUUUUGUUGCAUGAGGUCAGAGUCCACAGCUAGGGAAGAGUCGUCAGAUGACAAUUGAAGUAGGGAUCUGCCCCUUUCAAUACUACUACUACUACCAAAUUCACCGGUGCUACAUAUAAACAUUGCGAAGCUUAGAACUAGAUGGCCCUAAGAAACUACUCCAGCUAUGCUCCAGCUGUGUCAUAUCAAGAAACAAAAAGGAAGAAGUGUCCCUGGCCUAGGCACCUAUGGAGCACACCCAUGAGAAAAUAAACAAAUUCAGGCAAACAAAAAAAAACGAACAGAGCACACAACCAUGAGAAGAUAAGCCUGAAGUACAUUUAUUUAGUGCACAAUAACCUGGAUAAACCAUACUGCCAUACUGGUGGCACAUACAAACCAUGGUGAAGGACAACUUGCAUCAACACACCGAUGCAAAUUCAAAUGUCUCGGAUGUAAAAGUGCAUCAAACACAGAUGCCUCACGUGACUACUAGCAAUUCAAAUGGUCUUAGAUGUGACAAUACCAAGUAUACGACAACUUCCAGGCUUCGGUGACAGCACACGAGCAUUUGUGUGUUGC
rnacentral:lncRNA from 1 species